GGUAGCGUGGCCGAGCGGUCUAAGGCGCUGGAUUAAGCUUCCAGUCUGUUCGGUGGCGUGGGUUCGAAUCCCACCGCUGCCA
rnacentral:tRNA from 2 species